rnacentral:lncRNA from 1 species
UAUAGUAUGUUCUGUGUAGUUCUUGGAGCUUAUUCAUUUUAUUUUAUUUUUUUCAGGAUAUAUAUGAGGCAACUGAAUUUCAUCCAAUGUCUUCUUGUAAUGGAGAUUCUUCAGAUAGAGAUAAAUGUCUUUCAUCAUCUAUAAGGCUCAGUGUCUUGAGAAUACUAACCUCAAUCAAUUCCAGGCACUGUUACCUUUCUUGCAUAUCUCUAAGUUUAUUUAUUAUGCUCGCGACAUCAUUAUAAAUUAUUACAUUUGCCCAUGAAAUGUAUUAUAUGAUAUAUAUGUUUUGAAAAGUGGGUACUAAUCGGUAAUGUUCACGUAAAAUCCAUCUUGAAGUGAUUCCAGCACUUGAUAGUGUUGUGAAGAACGGACUCAUUUGACAUAAAGUAAAAUCCAUCUUGAAGUGAUUCCGAUAUUUCAUAGUGCCGUGAGGAAUGACUUAUUUGCCAUAGUAUUGAGUUAAUUUCCAUUGAAGGAUGAUGUGGCUAAAUUUAUUGUUCUAGUAGAUUGCGAUUUUAAGAGAAACUAAUUUUGCUAAUUUAGGCUUUGUUUGGAGGCACAUUUCUCAGCACAAGGGUCACUUGAUAUAUGUAAUUGGUUAAGUAUUCACUAAUUUGAGACUCUUUAUCGAUGCUCCUUUUUUGCCUUCUUAUAUACUGGAAGUUGGGAGAACUACGGUAUUAGCUUCACAAAUUUUUUUAUGUAUAAUAACUAAGCAACGCUUGUUAGACGAGCUGUGACAAAAUUGUGUUGGUCAACUUAUGUAUACAGUUUUGUUAUUUGAAGGCCAAUUGUGUGCUUGGUCCCUACAGGACUCUAACUGUCAACUCUUUUCCCUUGUAAGUUUCACAUGAUUACCAAUUUGAGACCACAACAUAUCAGCUAAUGGUCGGAAAAUAAAAUAUAUUGGUUUCGAUCAAAGGUUCAUAAAGAAAUGGUUACUUUUGUUGGCUAAAAUUUGUUAUAUGUGAAUCGUUUAUGGUAAUCUUUACAUUUCCCAAACUAUUUGCGCCUUUAAACUUUUUAAUCUGUAGAGAAAAUUUGAAAUAAUUUUAGCUUCUAGAGAGAUACUUAUAGCAGCUUAUUAGUGGCUCUCUGCUCAUGUGGUUAUUGGACGGUUAGUCCAGGUACAUUGAAGUUUAUGGCAAGUAAUUUCUUUAUUUUCAUGAUUGACAUAAUUAGAAUUUGUGAUUUCUUGGAGUUCACUGUUUUAGCAGUAUAGAAAUAUCAAUAGAUAUUAAAAACGGAUUUCAAUAUAUAGUUGUGUCUUAUAAGGCCUAACUGGCCUACUAACUAGCCAAGCGUAUUUAAGGGUCUGUUGGCAUAGAAUAAAAUGCUUAAUCAAGCUGUAAUGCUAGUAAGCUAGCUCUAAAAGAACAUAUUCUUCAUGUUUCUAACAUUUUCUUAUGUCGAACCAAUGCGGUGUGACAAACUCCCUUGUUAGAGAACUUCACAUCUUUAUGUGAUUUUCUCACUGGUCUCCUAGUUCUUUCAUAAUAGAUAUUCUCUUUGCUCCCUGGACUAGACAUAACUUAUGAUAUCUGCAGUUUGGUGGCAAUAUGAACAAGUCUAUCAAAUUGGUGCAAAAAUGUUGAACUGUCACACCAAUAUUAGUAUGCCAGCCUUACAUAUAGAUCAUUUACUUCCUAACAUCUUUGGUUGUGAGACAAUGAGUGUGAUAAAGAAAUGGGACAUUCCACCUUGAAUUUAAGUAACCAAUCUUAGAAAUAUAACAUAGUGAUUACAUUAACACUGACGAUAGACAUACUAUUGACUUCAUUAGAAUGCUUUCUAUUUCAUAUGACCUAUCAUGACUAGAUAUGUAGAUAUGCAGCGUAGAUAUCAGUGAAGUGGUAGGGCUUCUGUUCCAUUUGAUCUAUUUUACAUUUUGUUUUAUCAUUUGUUAUCUAACUUCCAAUACCAUGCACAAUAACAAUAAGAUAAUAAUUAGACAUGCCUCAUGUUGUUAUGAAGCUUUGCUAGGAGCUGUAUGUUGUAGCAUGUCUCCACCUGUGUCUAACUUCCAACUAGUUGUUGGCAUGUCCUAUUGCCAUAGUAAUAGAAAUCUUAGAAGUAAUAUGGACCUUGCAUUGUCAAUAUUUUAGGGUUUCAUCUUUCUCUAACACGUAUCAACCUUUUUGAUGAUGCCUCUAAUUUCUUCUCUUGCUGUUGAAGGGGCUCCUUCUGUGACAUCCUAAGGCUUGAGAAUAGUCCCAUAUCGACAACUAGAUGUGGGGGUAUAUAAGGCUGGAUAGGCUAGACAUAAUAAUUGGGUUUAAGCAUUUUGUGCCGUGAAUUUGGCCCAAUGAGUUAUUGGGUCCACAAUGCCCAGUUAAUUGAGCCGUGGGCUCUGUGAUGGGCGACCAAUCUGGGAAUUGGGUCGUGAUAAUUAUGAUAUCAGAGCCGGUUCACUAGUAGGAAAUGAGAGAUGAAUUUCGGCUGAGCCAAGGCCUGAAUGACGGGCUAAGUCAGGGUUUGAGAAUGACAAGGCUACGGAGACAAGUCUUACAUUACCUGGUGAUCUUGGGUAGUGUGCGUAAUUGAGCCCGACGAAGAUGUUAGGUCAUAAAAGAGGGGGAGGGGAGUCUGUGGCAUUCCAAGAUUUGAGAAUAGUCCCAUAAUAGUCCUGCUUCAGAUAGCCAUGGCUAGACGUAGGGGUACAUAAGGCUGGAUAGGCUAGACGAAUAACUAGGCUUAAACAUUUUGGGCCAGUGGAUUUUGGCCUAUCACGUUAUUGGUCCAGGGUACCCAGUUAAAUCGAGCCGUGGGCUCUGUCAUGGGUGACCACAUGGGAAUUGGGUCGUAACACUUUCAAUCUAACAUUCUAAUUACUGUAAAUAUAUACUACAUUGGAAACUUAAUUCUCGUGUUAUGGUACAAAAUGGAAUUAAGUUUUUUAUAUAUAGACAAAAUAUCCUAAUAUGAUAAGAACAUUUGAUUAUUAUGAUUCAAUGAUAGUAUAAUGGAAAAAAAAUAUUCGGAGAAUGAGAAUGAAAAAAAAAAAAACAUGAUAAGGAUACCUAGAGGGAUGAAAUUAAUAAUGGAAAUUUGAUACAGAUCAAAAUGUUAUUAAGCUCUUCUAUGACAUCUUUCCAAUUAUUUACUUUUAUUUAUCUUAUUUAUAUUUACUUUUUUUAUCUUAUUUAUUCGAUAAGCUGUGCAACAUAGCAAAGUGUCUGAAGCUUUGAUUUCUAGGUUCCAACAUGGAUGCUCCUAGAUACUGGGUGAAACUGAUUCAAGACUAAUAAAUUAAGUCUUUGGCUUUAGCUGAGAAUAAUACUGUGUAUAGUAUUGACUGCUCGAGAUUUUAGUCAAAAUAGUGCCCUCCCUACUUUCACAUGAAGAGAAUGUUAGACAUAUUUGCCAUGGAAUAAUCCAUUAUCAUAAGUUAACAAGUUGUGUCAUUUUUCUUCAUGAGAUUUUCCUCGCAUUUGAACUGUGCAAAGAAGAUUCAAGUGAAUUAUUUUCAUUUUGUAGUAUCGCUAUGCAAUCUUUUUUUUCUUGUUUCUUUAUGAAUUAUGCAUUCACUUGCCUCAUGAAUUCACAAUCAUUUGUUUAAAGUUAAUUUUUUCAAUCUUUCAUCAGUGUGUUAAUAUUUAUUCCCAAUGUUAUACUAUAGGAUGUGUAACCAAAAAAUUGCUGAAGUACAGUUCAGUGGACUUGGUAUUGAAUGUGAAUUUUUGAAAGAUUCGGCUGCUAUUCUUGCCUCGAUUGAUUCUGUUAAGAUAGCCAACCCUGUGAAUGAUAAU